rnacentral:misc_RNA from 1 species
GGAAGGAUCAUUAGUGAAUUUUGGGCACUCUUUUUAGAGGCCUAACCUCCACAAUCCCAAACACUGUGCACUUAUUGGCGAGUUUCGUAAUGAGGGGUAACCCUUUGGAAACUUGCGGCUUCAUUUUUAACACUAGUCAAAGAAUGUAAAUAAAUUAUAACAAAAAAAAAACUUUCAACAACGGAUCUCUUGGCUCUCGCAUCGAUGAAGAACGCAGCGAAAUGUGAUAAGUAAUGUGAAUUGCAGAAUUCAGUGAAUCAUCGAAUCUUUGAACGCACCUUGCGCUCUCUGGUAUUCCGGAGAGCAUGCCUGUUUGAGUGUCAUGAACUCUUCAACCCACCGGUUCCUUGUUGAACCGAGUUGGUGUUUGGUUUUUGAGUGUUUUGCUUUGUUUUCGGACAUAGCUCGCUCGUAAUACAUUAGCAUCUCGAUUUCGAAAUUCGGAUUGACUCAGCGUAAUAGACUAUUCGCUGAGGACACCUUUACCGGUGGCCGUAAUUAUGAUAACAGUAGACGCUUCCAAUCCUACUAGUCAAUUUUAUGAUUAGACCUCAGAUCAGGCAGGAUUACCCGCUGAACUUAAGCAUAUCAAUAAGCGGAGGAAAAGAAACUAACAAGGAUUCCCUAGUAACGGCGAGUGAAGCGGGAAGAGCUCAAAUUUGUAAUCUGGCACCUUUGGUGUCCGAGUUGUAAUCUCGAGAAGUGUUUUCCGCGCUGGACCGCAUACAAGUCUGUUGGAAUACAGCGUCAUAGUGGUGAGAACCCCGUAACUGAUGCGGAUGCCCAGUGCUUUGUGAUACACUUUCGAAGAGUCGAGUUGUUUGGGAAUGCAGCUCAAAUUGGGUGGUAAAUUCCAUCUAAAGCUAAAUAUUGGCGAGAGACCGAUAGCGAACAAGUACCGUGAGGGAAAGAUGAAAAGCACUUUGGAAAGAGAGUUAACAGUACGUGAAAUUGUUGGAAGGGAAACACUUGAAGUCAGACUUGCUAUUUGGAGUUCAGCCGCAAGGUGUAUUCUUCAAUUUGGCAGGCCAGCAUCAGUUUUUGGGGGUGGAAAAGGGUUUUGAGAAGGUAGCAGUUUCGGCUGUGUUAUAGCUCUUGACUGGAUUCACUCUUGGGGACUGAGGAACGCAGCGCGCUUUUUGCAAGGCCCUCGGGCUUUUCGCGCUUAGGAUGCUGGUAGAAUGUCUUUAAAUGACCCGUCUUGAAACACGGACCAAGGAGUCUAACAUGCUUGCGAGUGUUUGGGUGUCAAACCCGGACGCGCAAUGAAAGUGAAUGUAGGUGGGAUCCGCAAGGUGCACCAUCGACCGAUCUGGAUCUUUAGUGAUGGAUUUGAGUAAGAGCAAUUAUGUUGGGACCCGAAAGAUGGUGAACUAUGCCUGAAUAGGGUGAAGCCAGAGGAAACUCUGGUGGAGGCUCGUAGCGGUUCUGACGUGCAAAUCGAUCGUCAAAUUUGGGUAUAGGGGCGAAAGACUAAUCGAACCAUCUAGUAGCUGGUUCCUGC